GGCCGGCUCCGCCUGCAGACGUGUCCCUCUCUCCCGCACAAGUUGCACUAACUUUGGGAGGCAGGCAGGGCUGCGGGAAAGCGCCCGCGAGGUUUCCGUGGAGAAUGUGGUUUACCUGUGGUUAGAUUGUCAUUGAUCUUCAAAGGCACCCUUAGGAUGUAGACCAGGAAAAGCAUGAUGAAGACCCACAGGGUCCAGAGAUCAAUUCUUUAAUUUUUCACGGUGGUUUUAAAUUCAAAUCCUGUCCCUGAAAGCACUUGCAGUCCCUCCCAGUUUGGUGUCAUCAGGAGAUUUUACUGAGAAGGACAGAGAGGGUGAAGUGCCAUUCAAAGCCAUCCUGCAGGUAUAUAUGGCAGAAUUUUAAGAGAGUUUAGCCAUUCUGAAGCGGUUCCAUUUGUGAAAAGCAACAAAAAUACCUGCUACUGUAGCAGCAGGUACACACUCCAUUGAUGGUGUAUUGGAUCCAAUGUGUAACUGGAGAAGUGACUUAACAUACAAUGCUGUUAUGCACAGUUGGAAUGGAAUUAUGCUGUUCAAGGUAUAGGAGUAAUAGCCAGAGUUAGAAAGUUCACACAAUAAGAUUGAAUUGCUAAUGCUCUGCCUAUUCUCCAUCUCUCCAAUAUGUCUGAUCCUAGAAAGACCACAUCUGAGGGUAAUGUGUUAGUGAGUUCUCUGUGGUUAAUUGCUGCUUGGCAGUUCUUUCCAAACAAUAAGGACAACAUUCAUGGGUGAUUACCCGUGUCCAUCUACCAGGAACUGAACUGAGAUCAAAAGCUGGUUUCCGAUAGGGCAUCGGGACUUGAAUUAGUAUGAACCUAGCCCAUACAAAUCAAUGGCCUAGAAAUAAGAGGCUCCAGAGCAUUGCUGUCCAUUAACAAUUCCACUGAACCAACCAGUCACCUCCCCAUUCUUGUCUUGGGGUUCUUCUAAUCAGCAAGUAUAUCAGAGGCAGCAGCAUAGUGAGACAGGCAGCCAGUCCGCAAGGGUAGCUGCUUUUUAAACUAGCUCCCUAUGCAGACUGGUUCCUGCCUGGCACCCGACGCUGCUGCUUCUGAUACAGAGGCAACAGUGUGGAAUGGCAAGGGGCUCCUCAGGAGUAGGGCCGAGCACACUGGCUGCCGGCAGCCCCAUCCCUGGAGACUACAGAAUAGUCAAGUAUAGAUAAGAAUUAAUGAGGUUAAUUGGCUAUUCAAUUAACCGAUAUUUAAUAUCUCAAGUACAACAUUUUCAAUAUAUUAUUGAAAAUAAUAUUAGAGAAAGGGGGAAGAAAAUUUGGCUACCCCGAUAUAAGAUAAGAACUUCAAGCAGUCCUUAGCAGAGAAAUAUUAUGAGCUUGCAUCUUACAAAUGGGGAGGAGGGGUGGAGAAAUGUGCUAUGACAGCGUACUAUAUAUGUACCCAAAAUUUCUAAUACAACCUUUAAGCGGCCACAUGUUUCAAAGGGAGAAUAUCAAUUUUAAGUAGUGUCCAUCUUUUUUAAAUACCACACAACAAAAUUAAUCAGCAAUUGAUUUGCUACUCAAAUAAAUAGAAAAUCUGCAUUUUAAUGUCACAUUGAAUUUUAGUACAUUUCAAUCCAAGAAAAAAAAAUAAACAGACAUGGUAAUGAGUACAGGAUUAUAUAUUACAAUAUGCCUUGUUAUAUUACAUUUGUGGUUGUAUGAUAAAAAAUAACUCCAGGGCAAAUGGAAUCUGAACUCAUUUAAGUAAUUGUCAGGAAUAAAGCAUUAAAUGUAAUAAGUAUUUUUAAUUUCAAAAUCUUAAAACAGCAUAAGACCCUGGGCUUGUUUAAACAUUAACACUGAGCCAGCUGAAUAAGUAUUUUGAAAGGUUUUAACAUACUAUAGAAAAUGUUUUUCCCAACCUUAUACCCAAUGGAGGGAUAGAGGAUUUCUACAGUAGCACAUAUGGCUAAAUUCAUCAUGAGCCUAUGAACUAGAAACGUGCACACUGAACUCUUCAGGGAAUCCAGCAAGAGUCAGAAAUUGCUCACGUCAUAU